rnacentral:snRNA from 1 species
AGAUUGGGUGGCAGGGGAGAUACCAUGAUCACGAAGGUGAUUUUCCCAGGGCAAGGCUUAUCCAUUGCACUCUGGAUGUGCUGACCCCUGCGAUUUCCCCAAAUGUGGGAAACUCGACUGCAUAAUUUGUGGUAGUGGGGGACUGCGUUCGUGCUUUCCCCUG